rnacentral:tRNA from 1 species
UGGAAUGUAGCUCAGUGGUAGAGUACUUGCCUGGCAUGCUUGGGGUCCUGGGUUCGAUCCCUAGCACCACAA